rnacentral:rRNA from 1 species
CCUACGGGAGGCAGCAGCCGCGGUAAUACGGAGGGUGCGAGCGUUAAUCGGAAUUACUGGGCGUAAAGGGCGCGUAGGCGGUGGGUUACGUCUGCCGUGAAAUCCCCGGGCUCAACCUGGGAAUGGCGGUGGAAACGGGCUGACUGGAGUAUGGGAGAGGGUGAUGGAAUUCCAGGUGUAGCGGUGAAAUGCGUAGAGAUCUGGAGGAACACCAGUGGCGAAGGCGGUCACCUGGCCCAAUACUGACGCUGAGGCGCGAAAGCGUGGGGAGCAAACAGGAUUAGAUACCCUGGUAGUCCACGCCCUAAACGAUGGAUACUGGAUGUUUGGCGCCUUAGGUGCUGAGUGUCGUAGCUAACGCGAUAAGUAUCCGCCUGGGAAGUACGGCGCAAGGUUUAAACUCAAAGGAAUUGACGG